rnacentral:rRNA from 1 species
AACGAACGCUGGCGGCAUGCCUAACACAUGCAAGUCGAACGAGACCUUCGGGUCUAGUGGCGCACGGGUGCGUAACGCGUGGGAACCUGCCCUUAGGUUCGCAAUAACUCCCCGAAAGGGGUGCUAAUACCGGAUCAUGUCUUCGGACCAAAGAUUUAUCGCCUUUGGAUGGGCCCGCGUUGGAUUAGCUAGUUGGUAGGGUAAAAGCCUACCAAGGCGACGAUCCAUAGCUGGUCUGAGAGGAUGAUCAGCCACACUGGGACUGAGACACGGCCCAGACUCCUACGGGAGGCAGCAGUGGGGAAUAUUGGACAAUGGGCGAAAGCCUGAUCCAGCAAUGCCGCGUGAGUGAUGAAGGCCUUAGGGUUGUAAAGCUCUUUUACCCGGGAUGAUAAUGACAGUACCGGGAGAAUAAGCUCCGGCUAACUCCGUG